CUGCGGUAGGAUCAUUAUUGAACUUAAUCUGAUGAGUUGUUGCUGGUUCGCUCAGGAGCAUGUGCACGCUUGUCACCUUUAUAUCUCCACCUGUGCACUUUUUGUAGACCUGGAUAUAUUUCUGAAUACUAGUCAACUCAGGUUUGGGAUUGGCUUUAUGCCUCUUCUUACAUCUCCAGGCCUAUGUUUCCUCAUAUACCCAAUUGCAUGUUAUAGAGUGUAAUCAAAUGGCCUUCGUGUCUAUAAAAACCUAUACAACUUUCAGCAACGGAUCUCUUGGCUCUCGCAUCGAUGAAGAACGCAGCGAAAUGCGAUAAGUAAUGUGAAUUGCAGAAUUCAGUGAAUCAUCGAAUCUUUGAACGCACCUUGCGCUCCUUGGUACUCCGAGGAGCAUGCCUGUUUGAGUGUCAUUAAUAUAUAUCAACCUCUUCAGUUUGUUGAGUUUUGGAUGUGGGGGUUCUUUUUUGCUGGUCCUUCUAAGGUCAGCUCCCCUGAAAUGUAUUAGUUGAACAGUUGUAGACCGUCCAAUUGGUGUGAUAACUAUCUACGCUAUUGACGGGAAGCAGUUCAGCUUAUAACAGUCCAUUGAUUGGGACAAGUAUUCAUUGAUGUGACCUCAAAUCAGGUAGGACUACCCGCUGAACUUAAGCAUAUC
rnacentral:rRNA from 1 species